rnacentral:rRNA from 1 species
GACAGAGGGGGCGAGCGUUGUCCGGAGUCACUGGGCGUAAAGCGCGCGCAGGCGGCAAGCUAAGUGUCGUGUGAAAGCCCCCGGCUCAACCGGGGGCGGCCAUGGCAAACUGGGUCGCUCGAGCUGCGGAGAGGCCCCUCGAAUUGCCGGUGUAGCGGGGAAAUGCGUAGAGAUCGGCAGGAAGACCAAGGGGGAAGCCAGGGGGCUGGCCGCAGGCUGACGCUGAGGCGCGACAGCGUGGGGAGCAAACCGG